GAUGAACGCUGGCGGCGUGCCUAACACAUGCAAGUCGAGCGGACGGACGAGGCUUUUGCUUCUCUGCUGUGAGCGGCGGGCGGGUGAGUCACCCGAGUAUACCCGACCUUUAAGACUGAGAUCACGACGCGAAAGCGGAUAUAACAUAGGAUAAGAUUUUGAACCGUGGGGUUCUUAGGUGAUAGACGGUCUUGCUGACACUAAUAGAGGGUUCUGAGCUGGAGUGGCUAGUUGGUACGGUAACGGCUUACCAAGGCAACGAUGCAUAGCCGACCUGAGAGGGUGAUAGGUCACACUGGAACUGAGACACGGUCCAGACUCCUACGGGAGGCAGCAGUAGGGAAUGUUCGGCAAUGGGCGAAAGCCUGACGCAGCAACGCCGCGUGAGUGAUGAAGGUCUUCGGAUCGUAAAGCUCUGUUAGUAGGGAAGAACAGCUGUGUAAGGAAAUGUGGCCAUCUUGACGGUACCUAAACAAAAAGCACCGGCUAACUACGUG
rnacentral:rRNA from 1 species